GACAGAGGUGCCAAGCGUUAGGCGGAAUCACUGGGCUUAAAGCGUGUGUAGGCGGAUGUCUAAGUACCUUGUGAAAUCCCACGGCUCAACCGUGGAACUGCUUGGUAUACUGGAUGUCUUGAGCCAUCUAGGGGCUACCGGAACAAAUGGUGGAGCGGUGAAAUGCGUAGAUAUCAUUUGGAACGCCAAUGGUGAAAACAGGUAGCUGGGGGAUGUGCUGACGCUGAGACACGAAAGCCAGGGGAGCGAACGGG
rnacentral:rRNA from 1 species